rnacentral:misc_RNA from 1 species
AAAGUCGUAACAAGGUUUCCGUAGGUGAACCUGCGGAAGGAUCAUUACAAAUCAUUUUACUAGUACUAUGUUGCACACUAUCCGAAGGAUAGGGGGCAAGAUAGUGUGUAUCGUACGGUGUGAGAGGGGAGUGCGCAUUGGGUUCGUGUGUCUAUCACACUAUCCACUUUACUCACUCCACUUUCACCCUCACCUUACACCUAACCCUACCCUCGAUCCAUCCAAAAUACCUCACUAUACUUUCACCAAAUUAUCCUUUCACUAGUAACAACUUGUAACAAUGGAUCUCUAGGCUCUU